rnacentral:lncRNA from 1 species
AAAGCUCCGCCUCGGGAAAUUGAAAAUCUUGAAUACGAUUAUUGUGGGAAAAGACAUUUUGGUGAAUGCUGGAAGUAAAUCAGAGGAUGUUUCCGCUGUGGCUCUACUGAACACUUUGUUAAAGAUUGUCCGAGAACUCAAAGUAGUACACCUGCCACAUCUCAGAGACCGGUAUCGACUGCCAGAGGUAGAGGAAUAUCCAGAGAAGGUUCUGCUUCAAGGAGAGGAGGAGUUGGUAGAAGCAGUGAUAUAGCUACACAGCAAUCUAAAGCCAGAGCUCCAGCUAGAGCUUAUGUAGUCAGAACCCAGGAAGAAGGCAAUGCUCACGAUGUAACACCCCC